rnacentral:lncRNA from 1 species
UAUGAUUCAACAGUUUUCUUUGAAGAUGAUGAUACAAAAAAAGAAAAAUCCAAAAACUCUUCUUUGAAAACUCUUCUUUGUGGUUAUAAUGCCAAAAUAUCAACUGUUGUUUUCGUUAUUAUUGAUAGGAAUUUUCUUGUUAAGAUCCUAUAAAUCGAUUGAAACCUCAGAUUCAUAUUAGAACCACAAUGACUUAAUAAAAACUUCAAACUAAGUCCAAAGAUUCCCUGAGUAAGAACCAUUGUACCAUCACUUAUUCACUGAAUAAAUAUAAUGAGUAAAAAUUCAAAGAAAGGUUUGUCCUUUGAUCAAACAUAGAAAAAGAGGAGGAAAAAUCUUUCAAUUUAUACCUUCUAAUUCUUUGAAUUUUUUUGGAAUCCGGUCACGG